rnacentral:lncRNA from 1 species
CCUUCAUCCAUUCCAAAAAUACUCCUGCUACAGCCAGAGAGAGCACACGCAGCACCCGAUGCAUCCACCUACAAACAGACCCAGUGCAUCUCUAACUGCUCCAUUUUUCCAAGACUGAAGGACGUCACAGAGACAGGAGAAAGACAAGAGAAAGAUGUUUCCUUUCACCUAAUUUUUCUCUGAAGAAAGAGUCAUUGAAGAUUUUUAUAGCCUCUCACAGGAACGAGAUGUGGGAAACGUAGUGGAUUCACACAGAUUUAACAUAAAUUCAAAGAAGAAUCUAUUGUUUAUUUUAACCAAAAAUACAAGCUAAAUUCUGUCUAAUUCUUUACUUUGAAGUUCUCGUAGUCCCAUGUAUAAACACGUACUCUAGCUCUUGAGUACUCAAUUGUCACUGAUGCACUGGCUAAUAUUGAAAAAUUAAUUUUUAUCUAUUCUUCCACUCAUCUCCAAAAGAGGUGUAGCAUGCACUUUUUAUUUACUCUGAGUCGUGUGAAAUCACUACUGCAUAUUUGUAAGCACUAUGAGAUGUUUAUAUACGUUCAAAAUAAAUUUGUGAAGCAGGAGAAUAGGUAAUACUUGAAUACCUGGCUAUCAUGCUGAGCCUUAAUAAGAUACUAUAGAGGAAGGAAUAUCUUCAUUCACUAACUAAAUAGGAUUCUUUAAUUAUCCUUCUAAGAAAAGAGAUGAAAGAGACUAAGAUUUUUCCUAACAAGUUCCAGAUUUUAUACCAGAUUUUUUGCUUAGAGUAAUAGACUACUAGGAGCAGCACAUUUGUAGGUCUGAUAGAAGUCACUGUACCAAUUCUUUCUGCUACGCUUGCCAACAUAGCCAACUUCUCUUUCUUUCAUUCCCUCCUUAUACAACAAAAAGAUCUUCUUUUUUAAGUUUAUGUUUUCAAUAUUGGACCAAAGAAGCUUUUUAUCUAUCAGUAAUCCUUAUCUAAACAAUUCUGCCAUUUCUUAGUAUUGUUACCUCAGCGAUGAGUUCAGCAAAGGAAAGACUGGGUAACUCUUGAGACAUGGAGGAGAAAUACAAGUUCCCAGCUUCUCUAAGAUUUUUUAGCUGCAACUGGAAACCAGUAGCACAGAAAACCUAGAAUUGCUUCUUUCUUUCAGAGAUAUCCAUAUUUUAACAGAACUAGAUGUAAAAAAAGCCUCCUCCAGGAUAAAUAAAUGUAUUGAUUCCAAUAAAGAUGUCCUGAAGUAUAUCUAAGUACACAUAUAUGAAAAAUAAAAAUGAGAUUAUAAAUUCACAUCAAGUUAUUUGAAUGGAGUUCUAGAGUCUGUAUAUUAAGACCCGUAUCAUUGCACACAUAAAACUCAUCCACUGCUCUCCUCAGGCAUUUUUAUCGUGGAAAAAGUGGGCUGGUGUAUCACCACAGCAAGAUGAAUUUCAGAGUUUAACAGCAGUGAGUCCCCAUCCACUUACCAGCAAUAAGAUAUUUAUGCUGCAAUUGCAAACUCUGAAUGCAAUAAAGAUGUCAUGAAGUACCACUGCGUGCACACCAUGAUCAGAACUUAAUGAAAUGGAGAGAGACGAGAAAUAAGCUUAUGGUUUGGGUUAUUUAUUUAUUUAUUUAAGGAAAUAUAGACCUUCCAUAAACAUUCCCCAGGCUGACAUUCAAGUACUUUGGGACCCAAAUUGCUACGACCUGCUAGAGGCAGAAUAAACCACCUGAAUAUUUAAAGACAAAG